rnacentral:tRNA from 1 species
GGAGUUAGCUCAGCGGUAGAGCGCUUGCCUAGCAAGUGCAAGGCCCUGGGUUCGGUCCCCAGCUCCG